UCCAUUUCUCUACGCUAUGUU
rnacentral:siRNA from 1 species